CGCGUAGGCGGACAUGAAAGUCAGAUGUGAAAUCCUGGAGUUUAACUCCAGAACAGCAUUUGAAACUCCAUGUCUAGAGGAUAGAAGGAGAAAACGGAAUUCCACAAGCAGCGGUGAAAUGCGUAGAUAUGUGGAAGAACACCGGUGGCGAAGGCGGUUUUCUAUUUUAGACCUGACGCUGAGGCGCGAAAGUAAGGGGAUCAAACA
rnacentral:rRNA from 1 species